CCGACAAACCUCAUUGUGAAUUUUUUCGAGAUCGCUGAUCAUCCAAGUACGUAAGCCGUGUAUAUGGCAUUGUCAAUGCGGUUAUACACAUACAUACGCACGUAGAGUUAUUGACUUGCUAGAUUCUCCGUAUCUUUAAUACUGUGGGAAUGUGAAGAUCAAGAUUAUCAUCAAAUGCAUUAUAUUUCAAUUCAAAACAAUUCCAUGUAGCAUCGGAGAAUCAGAAAUAGCUAUGGUGCAGUAAAGCAGUCGACGCUAAUGGCAAAAUACCAGCAAAUUCAGAUUUUGGACAGCACAAAGAAAAAAAAAUCAAGCAUUGGUAAUGCUCCCAACGACAUGACCAGCACCAAGAUGAACAGCCACAUUAAGCCCUUCAACUUGGUAGUGUUUUGAACUAUCGUAUUUUUCCAAUCCCAGCUAUAUUCUCAAGAUCCCAGACUCUACGAAAAGGACCAUAUCUGUUCUCCAGAAAAUUGAGAGAGGUAUGUGCUCCCUCAAACGUCAUCCUCUUCAGCCGAGAAAGAACUUUAAGUUGUUCGUUCUAAUGGUGGCUAUAAGUCUUCUUGUUUUAACAUUUUACGUUUUUCCCUGACUACACAAAAAUGUUGUCUAAAGCUACAUAUUGUGUUUCUCCGGGGAGACCUCCAGCUCUCCUAAAACUUCG